rnacentral:rRNA from 1 species
GUUUGCGCGGCACAGAGACUAGCCAUUCUCUGUUUACAGGAAACAAAAAUAGAUAUUUGGUCUCAAGCCAUGGUUAGUGACAUAGGAGGCAAUUGGAUGAGAGACACCUUAGUUCUCCCGGCGAUAGGAUCUAGAGGUGGCAUUGCGAUCUUCUGGAACAGAGAUAUCGUCUCCAUCUCUUCACAAGCCAUAGUCCAGUUUUCGAUCGCAGCCAUCGUGUCUCUUGUGAACUCGACUACAAGCUUUGUGCUUACCAUGGUCUACGGCCCGUCGGAUGGCACAAACAAGGAGGCCUUCUUCGACGAAUUAGCUAGAUCAGCCCCGCCAUUAGGUACUCCAUGGCUCAUCAACGGAGACUUCAAUGUCAUCUACGAAGCGAGAGACAAAAAUAACCUCAACUUGAACAAAGCAAUGAUGAGUAGGUUUAGAACUGCACUAGAUUUGGCGGCACUGAAAGAAAUCAAAUGCAAGAACAGAAGAUUUACGUGGAGCAACGAGAGGCGAUCGCCAACGCUAGUUAGCAUCGAUAAAUUCUUCGUCAACCUAGAGUGGGAGGCCCUCUUCCCUUCCUUCAUGCUAGUAGCCGCCUCCACAUCAUGCUCCGAUCACUGCCCUCUGAUCCUGGCAAGCGCCACCGCUCCUCCUCGUCGAGCGCGUUUUCGCUUCGAGAGCUUCUGGGUCAAAUUCCCUCACUUCAGGGAGACAGUGCAAAGGGAUGGCAACGCUUGGCCACACAAAAUUGUGCUUUCAGCAAGAUCAGAACAAGGCUCGACAGGGUGGCCAGAGACCUCAAGAUUUGGAGUGGAAGCCUCUUCAGUGAUUUCAAACUGCAAUUCCAUAUAA